AUGCAAGCCCUGAGUCUCCACACGCGUGCUGGGGCCGGAGGGCAGAAGGGCGGGGCCCGAGGAGGCGUGCCCAGCCUGCGACAGUGGAAGCCCUGAUCCAGACGGGGGGAGGCUUGCCACAGCUCCCCUUCAGAUUCGGUUCCAAGAAGGGAUCGCACAGGGAGCAGCCUGCUCCCCCGGGAGCUCGAGAGCCAGCAAUGUUGGUGAGUAACCUGCCAUUCUGGUCAAUACAUCAAGCUGGUAUGAGUUUGUUUAACAUGGGUCAGACUCCAAACCCCAAUCCUUUCUGGAUCUAAGGCCACAAGAGGCUGCAUGCACAAGACCUGUUUAUUAUGAACUGUGGCCCAGGAUUAGAACUGCCUUAACAAAGAGGGGGGCAGCACCCCUGCUUCUCCUGCUUCUCCUCCUACCCCCCCCCUUCUGUACCACACAGACAUUCUGUGUCUAGACCCCUUGUCUGUGUUACAGUUCAGCUUCAUCAAGGACGAAAUGUCUUCAGAGGACACCCUGAGCCCCCUCCACCACUGUUGUUUCUAUGAGAAAAACAUCAAUUCCCACAGCUGAUCCUCAAAUGAAGUUUGGACCGUGACCCGGCGAUAACUCGGGGACAUUUUGUUCCUGUAAAUUGGUCUUUCUAGCCAGCGUCUGGGAGCUGGCUGGGAAACGCACUUAGUAAAUCACACGUAGAAGGACAGAGAAGGUUCUAGAAGAGAUGAGUCAGGCUCGGGGGUGGGUCGAGUGGAGGGGAGAGGAACAGAGAGCCGAGCUGUCCUGUGACAGUGGAAUUUUUACCAGAAGCGACUGUAUGGUCAGGCCCAGCGGAAGACGGGGUGGUGAGGCAAAUCCCAGCCAAGGGAUCUUUAAAAGCCUCUCUCAGUGAGGCCGGUCCUUCUCGGUGAUGGAGGGGCUAUAAAUCACACGCUCUGCCCGGCAUCUCCAUCAGGCCUUCCUCUCCGCUCCGGAGCUGGGAGUGAAGUCCAGUUGCCACAAGGAAUCGGCACCUGAUGUGGCGGUCCCCCCACCCCCAGGCGCCCUGCCCGGAGGCUCAAGAUGAACGUGAGGAAGUCACACUGGCUCUAAGGACAAAGAUUUGCAGAAACGGUAGAGCUGAUCGUACACGCAGAACUACCACGUUCUUGGCAGACAUCUCCUCCCUUCACGCAUCUUAGAGCAGAAGGCGCAGCUGCAACCUGAGAGAACAUGGUCCUAAAAGCAGAAUCCUCAUGAUGGGGAAGUCAAGGACUGAUUGCUUUAGAUGAAGAAAAUGGUUAAAUCACUUGAAUAGAAUGCCCCUAUCGCAUCUGUCUACUCCCGACACUGACAGAUCACUGCCUGGCGCAGUCACCAUGGGAACAAGGCUGUAGAUAACUCGUACCACGGUGUUAACUGGGUUAAUUUUGUGUAGAAAAAAAUCGCCUCGGUUCAAAAGAAGCUGGUUCCUUUAAAUAUCUGAUUACGGAGCCCGGCUAACUCACUCACACAGAGAGCUCCGGGGGAGGGGGAAGGGAAGUGACGGGGAUGGAAAACAGCUGAGGAAUAGUGACAUCAGAUGCUCCCAGUACAAUAGCCAGAGAGAGGACGCCAGCCAGGCAGAACGUUAGAGGUAACGGAAGGGACCUGGAGCAUAUUUAUAUUUUGUAGAAUGCAGUUUGCUCCAGAAAUGGAAAUUAUUCCAGGAAGGUCAGAGAGAAGACGCUGCUGUAGAUGGAAAGUGCAGCUGAGCAGAAACCCCAGGACCCAAAAAAGAAUCGGAUCAUGACACUGUGACUCUAAGUAACUUAUCGACUGCAGAGCAGGACUUUCAGCGGACUUACGCCCUGGGGCUUUGCCCUGUAAAAACGGCUGAGCAGGUCAAAGCAGAGGCGCCACACAGUAGGAACUGCAUACUGUCUCUUCUUAUUGUGCACUUUUAUUUUCUAUUUAACUUGCACAUGCCAUUUAUUUGUUUUUUUAAAAUUGAGAUAUAAGAUACUACCAAAAAAGGUCAAAUGUGUAAAGUAUACGUAUCUAUGUGUAUAGCUUCAUGAAUCUCACAUAUAUGUAUAUAAACAUACAUCAAUGUAAUCAACAUCCAGAUCAAGAUACAAAAUACUUCCCCCACCCUAGAAAGCUCCCCAGCGAUGCCCAGCAAGCCCACCAGAAGGAAAGGGCAUCCUUACUUCGAGCACCUGAGUUAGUUCUGCCUGUCCUCGAUAAACGCGAGAAAUGAGUCAGGCAGCAUUCGCUUCUGGCUUUUUACUCAACACAAGGUGUGUAAGAUUCAUCCACGUUAUUGUGCACAUCAGUCGUUGGUCUUUAAUGUUGUGGUUUACAUUGUGUUGGAUGACUAUACUCCUCAUUUAUUGAUCUCUUCUCCCAUUGACGGACAUUUGUGCUGUGUCCAGCUUGAGGCAAUUAGGAAUAAAGCUUCGGUGAAAAUUGUUAUGCGA